rnacentral:RNase_P_RNA from 1 species
GAAGCUGACCAGACAGUCGCCGCUUCGUCGUCGUCCUUUCGGGGAGACGGGCGGAGGGGAGGAAAGUCCGGGCUCCAUAGGGCAGGGUGCCAGGUAACGCCUGGGGGGGGAAACCCACGACCAGUGCAACAGAGAGCAAACCGCCGAUGGCCCACGCAAGUGGGAUCAGGUAAGGGUGAAAGGGUGCGGUAAGAGCGCACCGCGCGGCUGGUAACAGUCCGUGGCACGGUAAACUCCACCCGGAGCAAGGCCAAAUAGGGGUUCAUAAGGUACGGCCCGUACUGAACCCGGGUAGGCUGCUUGAGCCAGUGAGCGAUUGCUGGCCUAGAUGAAUGACUGUCCACGACAGAACCCGGCUUAUCGGUCAGUUUCAC